rnacentral:rRNA from 1 species
CCCACUAUGCUCAGUUAUAAACUUUAACUUACACACCAUUCGCCAGGGAACUACGAGCAAAGCUUGAAACCCAAAGGACUUGACGGUGCCCCAUACCCCCCUAGAGGAGCCUGUCCCGUAAUCGAUGAUCCCCGUUAUACCCUACCACCCCUAGUUAAUCAGCUUGUAUACUUCCGUCGACAGCUUACCGUGUGAACGUAAAGUAAGCCUAAUGUUUACCCAUCAACACGUCAGGUCAAAGUGCAGCUCAUGGAGUGGAGAGAGAUUGGCUACACUUUCUACCAUAGAAGAUACGAAAGUCUAUAUGAAACUCUAUUCUGAAGGCGGAUUUAGUAGUAAAAAGGAAAUAGUAUAUCCUUUUUAAAUCGCACUGGAGCGUGUA